rnacentral:sRNA from 1 species
GAGGAGCAGAGCAUGAACAACCAAGAAGUAACGUUUGUGUUCUUUCAUUUGUACUGGAGAUGACAAAGACAAAUUAAACAAUAGCAACAUCAAAAAAGAGCAGCGACUCCUCACUGGAGGAAGAUCUGACUUCUAGCGCAUCUCACAUCCUCUGAAAUGCCAACAUGGCAUGAGAACUACUUCCCUAAAUAAGAAGCUGGAAAGUUUCCUCCUCAGGAAUGCAUGGACAAAGCUAGAUGGCCCUGGGCUUGUACCAGAGGGGCAAGAAGAUGAUGUAGGAUGUGGGGCUUGAUGUUAGUCCUGACUCUUCUCAGGAAGGAGCCUCUGGGUGUGGAUUUAACAGCUCAACCAAUAGGACAGAGGCGCGCUAGGGCAGCUCCAGUGAGAGUCUGGCUGCUCAAUCUUUGUCCUCAAGGGCUGUCCCUAGAUUCCUCACCCAACACUUCCCAGUGAUUCCUAGCCCCUUGACUCAACAGGCUGACCAUUUCAGUUCACUAAGAGUUUAUUUCAUGGAUGGCCCUGGUCUGUUUCAUCCUUAUUUGUAAAAGCCCAGAAGUUCAGGGGUCUUUACACUCCUGCUUGACAAACAGCCUCGCUAUCAAAAAUUAAAGCUUCUACAGAUCCUAGGUUGGAAAGGAUGAAAGGAAAGUGAGGACAGAGAUGGCCGAGUCACACACUCUGUGCCCUUCAUGAGGACAGAGAGAUUCCCAAGAGCUGAGGAACAUUCCAGCAUGGAGCUUAGAGUGAAUAUCACUGGCUAGAGUCUGAGAUAAGAUGGUUGUUCUCACAAGGAGCCGGGUCUGCAUAAUUGUAUCAGUAAUCAGCAGUAAGGCAAUUAGUUGUCCUCUUAAAGUUGUGACUAACCAAGGUGGAGAGCAGAGAAUGUGCAAUGGCCGCUGUAAGCCAGCAGUAGCCCAUCUCAUACUGUGUCCGUGUUGAUGGAGACCAAGUCAUUCCUCUUGGGUCCCUAUGCUUCCCUGACGCUAGCUUGAAGAAGAAAGAAACUUUCCCACGGUAAGUAAUUAUCCACUCACGUGAUCAAUUUUAAAAUCUGUAUGUUUUCUAGAAAACUGGCCUUGGAGCUGAGU